CGCGUCGCCGCGGGAGGCUGGGCGGGCACAUGGGAGGGCGGAGCUGCGGCCCUGGAGACCGACCACAGGACCCCAGCCUCGGGGGCGACAGACCUAAGCGCGCCUCCAGAGCCGGCGCGCAGCGCCCGUCCUCAGCGCCGCCGUCCUACCUGCGGGCUCAGAGUCUGCCAGAGUCUCAUGGUUGCAGGCGAAAGCCUCAAAACAACCUUGUGAGAAGGGCUAGGAGCAGCUUGUUUACGGAUGAGGAAGAAAACUACAGCUCAGAGAGGCUGACCAAUUGGCUGCAGUAACAAGACCAUUGAAAGAAUUAUCACUCCUUUGCCAGGGAGUGAAGGAUGAAGAAGAGAAGGCC
rnacentral:lncRNA from 1 species